rnacentral:rRNA from 1 species
GACGAACGCUGGCGGCGUGCUUAACACAUGCAAGUCGAACGGAAAGGCCCUGCUUUUGUGGGGUGCUCGAGUGGCGAACGGGUGAGUAACACGUGAGUAACCUGCCAUUGACUUUGGGAUAACUUCAGGAAACUGGGGCUAAUACCGGAUAGGAGCUCCUGCUGCAUGGUGGGGGUUGGAAAGUUUCGGCGGUUGGGGAUGGACUAGCGGCUUAUCAGCUUGUUGGUGGGGUAGUGGCUUACCAAGGCUUUGACGGGUAGCCGGCCUGGGAGGGUGACCGGCCACAUUGGGACUGAGAUACGGCCCAGACUCCUACGGGAGGCAGCAGUGGAGAAUAUUGCACAAUGGGCGGAAGCAUGAUGCAGCAACGCCGCGUGCGGGAUGACGGCUUUCGGUUUGUAAACCGCUUUCGCCUGUGACGAAGCGUGAGUGACGGUAAUGGGUAAAGAAGCACCGGCUAACUACGUG